rnacentral:rRNA from 1 species
CCUACGGGAGGCAGCAGUGAGGAAUAUUGGUCAAUGGACGCAAGUCUGAACCAGCCAUGCCGCGUGCAGGAAGACGGCUCUAUGAGUUGUAAACUGCUUUUGUACGAGGGUAAACGCAGAUACGCGUAUCUGUCUGAAAGUAUCGUACGAAUAAGGAUCGGCUAACUCCGUGCCAGCCGCCGCGGUAAUACGGAGGAUUCAAGCGUUAUCCGGAUUUAUUGGGUUUAAAGGGUGGUUAGGCUGUCGGAUAAGUUAGAGGUGAAAUCCCGAGGCUCAACUUCGGAAUUGCCUCUGAUACUGUUCGGCUAGAGAGUAGUUGCGGUAGGCGGAAUGUAUGGUGUAGCGGUGAAAUGCUUAGAGAUCAUACAGAACACCGAUUGCGAAGGCAGCUUACCAAGCUACUUCUGACGUUGAGGCACGAAAGCGUGGGGAGCAAACAGGAUUAGAUACCCCAGUAGUC